GAAAGGCUGUGAUUCGCCAAUUACAGCUGGGUGUUUUACCGAGGCACCCCAAUUAGG
rfam:Ruminococcus sp. SR1/5 draft genome.